rnacentral:rRNA from 1 species
UACGUAGGGUGCGAGCGUUGUCCGGAAUUACUGGGUGUAAAGGGUCCGCAGGCGGGCAGGAAAGUCAGAGGUGAAAGCCCCGGGCUCAACCUGGGAAUUGCAUUCGAGACUGAAUAGCUAGGGUACGGUAGAGGGAAGCGGAAUUUCCGGUGUAGCGGUGAAAUGCGUAGAUAUCGGAAGGAACAUCAGUGGCGAAAGCGGCUUCCUGGACCAGUACCGACGUUCAGGCACGAAAGCGUGGGGAGCAAACAGG